CUCAUUUGGUUUACCCACCCAGCCCAGUUGGCUAAGCCCUUUGCUAAGUCUGGUGGAUGCUGGAAGGACGACUUUGUCUUCACCAAGGUUCUGCUGUCCCAGGAUGUGUGCAUGAGUCAUUGUCUGGAAAUCCAAGUGGCCAGAUGUCCGCCAGAUACCGCUGCACUCGAGUUGCUAACUCCAGCAAACAGGGGAAGGGGCCACUCUUCCCUGCAGAGCUGGCGGGCAGGAGUGUGCCUUUCUGCAUGAGGGAUUUGUCCUCGAGACUUCAAAUUUCCCACCUCUCUAAUAAAACAAAAAAGCUGAUGAAACAAAAGAUCCUGCGGAGCAGGCAACCCCUGU